rnacentral:ncRNA from 1 species
AGCCGAUCCUAAGGGACGGGGUAACCCCGGCAGAUAGCGCGAUCACGCGCAUCCCCCGAAAGGGAAUCGGGUUAAGAUUUCCCGCCCCGGGAUGUGGCGGUUGACGGCGAUAUUAGGAAGUCCGGAGACGCCGGCGGGGGCCUCGGGAAGAGUUAUCUUUUCUGCUUAACGGCCUGCCAACCCUGGAAACGGUUCAGCCGGAGGUAGGGUCCAGUGGCCGGAAGAGCACCGCACGUCGCGCGGUGUCC